GUGUAACAACUCACCUGCCGAAGCAACUAGCCCUGAAAAUGGAUGGCGCUCAAGCGUCCUCCCGAUACUCAACCGUCGGGGCAGUAACGGCCCUUGCGGGUCUAGAAGCCCCGACGAGUAGGAGGGUCGUGGCGGUGAGCGUUGAAGGGACCGGCGUGAGACGGCCUGGAGCCACCGCUACUGCAGAUCUUGGUGGUAGUAGC
rnacentral:rRNA from 1 species